GACGAACGCUGGCGGCGUGCCUAAUACAUGCAAGUUGAGCGCUGAAGGUUGGUACUUGUACCAACUGGAUGAGCAGCGAACGGGUGAGUAACGCGUGGGGAAUCUGCCUUUGAGCGGGGGACAACAUUUGGAAACGAAUGCUAAUACCGCAUAAAAACUUUAAACACAAGUUUUAAGUUUGAAAGAUGCAAUUGCAUCACUCAAAGAUGAUCCCGCGUUGUAUUAGCUAGUUGGUGAGGUAAAGGCUCACCAAGGCGAUGAUACAUAGCCGACCUGAGAGGGUGAUCGGCCACAUUGGGACUGGGAAACGGCCCAAACUCCUACGGGAGGCAGCAGUAGGGAAUCUUCGGCAAUGGACGAAAGUCUGACCGAGCAACGCCGCGGGAGUGAAGAAGGGUUUCGGAUCGUAAAACUCUGUUGGUAGGGAAGAACGUUGGUGAGAGUGGAAAGCUCAUCAAGUGACGGUAACUACCCAGAAAGGGACGGCUAACUACGUG
rnacentral:rRNA from 1 species